rnacentral:lncRNA from 1 species
AAUCCCAAAAUUCCCAAAUUUCCUGGCAGGAAGUGAACAACCCCGCCAAAAACGACGCCCUGGAGAAGGUGGAGGACGAGACCAUGAAAGGGUUAAAGGAGUUGGGGGCGUUCGGGCUCCAGGUGCCCCCAGAAUUUGGGGGUUUGGGUCUUAACAACACCCAGGUGAGGUUGGGGGACCCCAAAAUCGUCUCCCAGUAUAAUCCCAGUUUGUCCCAGUUUGGCCCAGUUUGUCCCAGUUUGUCCCAGUUCCCAAAAAAUUCGCCCCAAAUCUUCAAAAAUUUCCCUCAAAUUCGCCCAAAAUCCCCCCAGGAUUCACCAAAUUCCCCCCAAAUCUCUUCCCAGUUCAUCCCAGUUCAUCCCAGUUCAUCCCAGUUGCUCCCAGUUCAUCCCAGUUCAUCCCAGUAAAUCCCAGUUCCAAAAAAUUCGCCCCAAAUCUCCAAAAAUUCCACUCAAAUUCGCCCAAAAUCCUCCCAGGAUUCACCAAAUUCCCCCAAAUUCCCCCCAAAUCCCUUCCCAGUUCAUCCCAGUUCAUCCCAGUUCAUCCCAGUUCAUCCCAGUCCAUCCCAGUAAAUCCCAGUUGCUCCCAGUAAAUCCCAGUUCCAAAAUAUUCGCCCCAAAUCUCCAAAAAUUCCACUCAAAUUCGCCCAAAAUCCCCCCAGGAUUCACCAAAUUCCCCCAAUUUCCCCCCAAAUCCCUUCCCAGUUCAUCCCAGUUCAUCCCAGUUCAUCCCAGUAAAUCCCAGUAAAUCCCAGUAAAUCCCAGUUCCCAAAAAUCCUCCAAAAAUUUCCCUCAGAUUCGCCCAAAAUCCCCCCAGGAUUCACCAAAUUCCCCCAAUUUCCCCCCAAAUCUUCUCAAAUCCCUUCCCAGUUCCUCCCAGUUCCUCCCAGUUCAUCCCAGUAAAUCCCAGUUGCUCCCAGUUGCUCCCAGUUUGUCCCAGUAAAUCCCAGUUCCAAGAAAUUCGUCCCAAAUCUCCAAAAAUUCCACUCAAAUUCACCCAAAAUCCCCCCAGGAUUCCCCAAAUUCCCCCAAUUUCCCCCCAAAUCCCUUCCCAGUUCAUCCCAGUUCAUCCCAGUUCAUCCCAGUUCAUCCCAGUCCAUCCCAGUUCAUCCCAGUUGCUCCCAGUAAAUCCCAGUUCCAAAAUAUUCGCCCCAAAUCUCCAAAAAUUCCACUCAAAUUCGCCCAAAAUCCCCCCAGGAUUCACCAAAUUCCCCCAAAUUCCCCCCAAAUCUCUUCCCAGUUUGUCCCAGUUCAUCCCAGUUCAUCCCAGUUCGUCCCAGUUCAUCCCAGUUCCUCCCAGUUCAUCCCAGUUUGUCCCAGUUCAUCCCAGUUCAUCCCAGUUCCUCCCAGUUGCUCCCAGUUCAUCCCAGUUCAUCCCAGUAAAUCCCAGUUCCCAAAAAAUUCGCCCCAAAUCUUCAAAAAUUUCCCUCAAAUUCGCCCAAAAUCCCCCCAGGAUUC